GGUUAAGCGACUAAGCGUACACGGUGGAUGCCCUGGCAGUCAGAGGCGAUGAAGGACGUGCUAAUCUGCGAUAAGCGUCGGUAAGGUGAUAUGAACCGUUAUAACCGGCGAUUUCCGAAUGGGGAAACCCAGUGUGAUUCGUCACACUAUCAUUAACUGAAUCCAUAGGUUAAUGAGGCGAACCGGGGGAACUGAAACAUCUAAGUACCCCGAGGAAAAGAAAUCAACCGAGAUUCCCCCAGUAGCGGCGAGCGAACGGGGAGCAGCCCAGAGCCUGAAUCAGUGUGUGUGUUAGUGGAAGCGUCUGGAAAGGCGUGCGAUACAGGGUGACAGCCCCGUACACAAAAAUGCACAUAUUGUGAGCUCGAUGAGUAGGGCGGGACACGUGGUAUCCUGUCUGAAUAUGGGGGGACCAUCCUCCAAGGCUAAAUACUCCUGACUGACCGAUAGUGAACCAGUACCGUGAGGGAAAGGCGAAAAGAACCCCGGCGAGGGGAGUGAAAAAGAACCUGAAACCGUGUACGUACAAGCAGUGGGAGCACGCUUAGGCGUGUGACUGCGUACCUUUUGUAUAAUGGGUCAGCGACUUAUAUUCUGUAGCAAGGUUAACCGAAUAGGGGAGCCGAAGGGAAACCGAGUCUUAACUGGGCGUUAAGUUGCAGGGUAUAGACCCGAAACCCGGUGAUCUAGCCAUGGGCAGGUUGAAGGUUGGGUAACACUAACUGGAGGACCGAACCGACUAAUGUUGAAAAAUUAGCGGAUGACUUGUGGCUGGGGGUGAAAGGCCAAUCAAACCGGGAGAUAGCUGGUUCUCCCCGAAAGCUAUUUAGGUAGCGCCUCGUGAAUUCAUCUCCGGGGGUAGAGCACUGUUUCGGCAAGGGGGUCAUCCCGACUUACCAACCCGAUGCAAACUGCGAAUACCGGAGAAUGUUAUCACGGGAGACACACGGCGGGUGCUAACGUCCGUCGUGAAGAGGGAAACAACCCAGACCGCCAGCUAAGGUCCCAAAGUCAUGGUUAAGUGGGAAACGAUGUGGGAAGGCCCAGACAGCCAGGAUGUUGGCUUAGAAGCAGCCAUCAUUUAAAGAAAGCGUAAUAGCUCACUGGUCGAGUCGGCCUGCGCGGAAGAUGUAACGGGGCUAAACCAUGCACCGAAGCUGCGGCAGCGACGCUUAUGCGUUGUUGGGUAGGGGAGCGUUCUGUAAGCCUGUGAAGGUGUGCUGUGAGGUAUGCUGGAGGUAUCAGAAGUGCGAAUGCUGACAUAAGUAACGAUAAAGCGGGUGAAAAGCCCGCUCGCCGGAAGACCAAGGGUUCCUGUCCAACGUUAAUCGGGGCAGGGUGAGUCGACCCCUAAGGCGAGGCCGAAAGGCGUAGUCGAUGGGAAACAGGUUAAUAUUCCUGUACUUGGUGUUACUGCGAAGGGGGGACGGAGAAGGCUAUGUUGGCCGGGCGACGGUUGUCCCGGUUUAAGCGUGUAGGCUGGUUUUCCAGGCAAAUCCGGAAAAUCAAGGCUGAGGCGUGAUGACGAGGCACUACGGUGCUGAAGCAACAAAUGCCCUGCUUCCAGGAAAAGCCUCUAAGCAUCAGGUAACAUCAAAUCGUACCCCAAACCGACACAGGUGGUCAGGUAGAGAAUACCAAGGCGCUUGAGAGAACUCGGGUGAAGGAACUAGGCAAAAUGGUGCCGUAACUUCGGGAGAAGGCACGCUGAUAUGUAGGUGAAGUCCCUUGCGGAUGGAGCUGAAAUCAGUCGAAGAUACCAGCUGGCUGCAACUGUUUAUUAAAAACACAGCACUGUGCAAACACGAAAGUGGACGUAUACGGUGUGACGCCUGCCCGGUGCCGGAAGGUUAAUUGAUGGGGUCAGCGCAAGCGAAGCUCUUGAUCGAAGCCCCGGUAAACGGCGGCCGUAACUAUAACGGUCCUAAGGUAGCGAAAUUCCUUGUCGGGUAAGUUCCGACCUGCACGAAUGGCGUAAUGAUGGCCAGGCUGUCUCCACCCGAGACUCAGUGAAAUUGAACUCGCUGUGAAGAUGCAGUGUACCCGCGGCAAGACGGAAAGACCCCGUGAACCUUUACUAUAGCUUGACACUGAACAUUGAGCCUUGAUGUGUAGGAUAGGUGGGAGGCUUUGAAGUGUGGACGCCAGUCUGCAUGGAGCCGACCUUGAAAUACCACCCUUUAAUGUUUGAUGUUCUAACGUGGACCCGUGAUCCGGGUUGCGGACAGUGUCUGGUGGGUAGUUUGACUGGGGCGGUCUCCUCCUAAAGAGUAACGGAGGAGCACGAAGGUUGGCUAAUCCUGGUCGGACAUCAGGAGGUUAGUGCAAUGGCAUAAGCCAGCUUGACUGCGAGCGUGACGGCGCGAGCAGGUGCGAAAGCAGGUCAUAGUGAUCCGGUGGUUCUGAAUGGAAGGGCCAUCGCUCAACGGAUAAAAGGUACUCCGGGGAUAACAGGCUGAUACCGCCCAAGAGUUCAUAUCGACGGCGGUGUUUGGCACCUCGAUGUCGGCUCAUCACAUCCUGGGGCUGAAGUAGGUCCCAAGGGUAUGGCUGUUCGCCAUUUAAAGUGGUACGCGAGCUGGGUUUAGAACGUCGUGAGACAGUUCGGUCCCUAUCUGCCGUGGGCGCUGGAGAACUGAGGGGGGCUGCUCCUAGUACGAGAGGACCGGAGUGGACGCAUCACUGGUGUUCGGGUUGUCAUGCCAAUGGCACUGCCCGGUAGCUAAAUGCGGAAGAGAUAAGUGCUGAAAGCAUCUAAGCACGAAACUUGCCCCGAGAUGAGUUCUCCCUGACCCUUUAAGGGUCCUGAAGGAACGUUGAAGACGACGACGUUGAUAGGCCGGGUGUGUAAGCGCAGCGAUGCGUUGAGCUAACCGGUACUAAUGAACCGUGAGGCUUAACCUU
rnacentral:rRNA from 2 species